GAAAUGCGAUAAGUAGUGUGAAUUGCAGAAUUCAGUGAAUCAUCGAAUCUUUGAACGCACAUUGCGCCCUUUGGUAUUCCUUAGGGCAUGCCUGUUCGAGCGUCAUUUAAACCUUCAAGCCCCCGGCUUGCGUUGGAGCCCUGCGGCUGCCGCAGGCUCUAAGCGUAGUAAUGCUCUCGCUCUAGGGUCUCGCGGUAGCUUGCCAGCAACCCCAACUUCUAUGGUUGACCUCGGAUCAGGUAGGGAUACCCGCUGAACUUAA
rnacentral:misc_RNA from 1 species